rnacentral:lncRNA from 1 species
AUGGAGCCCAAAUGGUCCUGUCAAAGUUAGCCCUCCCAAAUUUUUUGCUAUCUCACAAAUUCAACUAUUAAAGAAGAUUGGAAUGAAAAUAUUGGUGAUUGAGAUUUAAAGUCGAGAAGAUCACUUUAUGAGAGAGAACAAAAUAUGUGGGACUCUAGAAAAGCCUCUCUCUCCCUACUCCAAAUGAUAACAGAGGUACGCAUAUUCCUAUCUAGAAAAAUAAUGGAAAUGGUUUUUUCUCUAUUGCCUCUGCUAAAGAAACUUUGUAUUCUUCAAGUAUCAAAAACAUUGACAUGUUGACCUACAAAUCUCUAUGAAAUUUGAAGAUUCCCCAAAAAUGCAAAGUCUUCAUGUGGACUGUGGCCACGUGCCCGAGACGACACGGAGCGGUUGACGUCCUCAAAAGAGCUAUUUUUAAAAGAAAAUAAGAGUCGUCACCAAUCUUUUUUACGGUGUGAUUGGACACCGAAAUAAAGUAAGCAAUUAAAAAAAAUAGUCUGCGAAAAAAUAGAAUUGAGUUCGGGAGUCAUUUGUGUGUGGAGAAGCUAUUACACCCCAAAACACCCAUUUAGAUAAACGGUGUCCAAAUUUCAAAUCUUGAAUUGAAAAUAUUUUUAAAUUUAUUUUUAAACUAAUUUCUUAUUUCACCCCUCAUUACUCUAAUAUUUGAAGCAAUGAUCUCAUAAAAUAAGUGGAAUAAUAUUCCAUUAAUUAAGACUACAUAUUUAAGAAAAGUUUUUCACCUUAAGAAAAUGAGAAAUUAUUACAAUUUUUCAAAAUCUAUCAUAGGCUAGUCUUUGAAUAAAGAUUUUUUUAAACAUUAAUUAAAUUUAUUUUUUCUUGAGAUCAAAUAUCGAACUUCCAAAGAUAUUGAUCCCUCAUCUAAAGAAUCUAGAAAUAACGGACUUCCAAAAUGUUCUAGAUUUUAUCGUAUGAUUUUUUUUUAGGAAAACGGUAUAAGUUUUACAAAAGAUUGGUUUAAGAAACCUUAUGAAAUCAUAUGUUAAAUUUUGAAAGUUAAGUUUUAAAAAAGCAUAAAACAUUUAUAGCAUUAUAGACGGAUUUGCUAAAUGAUUUUUUUAAAAAAAGUCUUUAUUUCAAAACAUAAAGAAUUUUAAAUUGAAAGGAUUUUAAAACAUUAAAAAAUUUAAAUACAAAGAGUUACCAUCUAACCAUAAUUAUUAUAAUAAUGUGAAUAAUUUAAAGAAAGGAAAACAUAAUGAAGUAAACAAAAUAAGGAGAGAAACAAAAAAAAGUAGUGAUACGAACAAAUAUAUAUAUAUAUAUAUAUAUAAAGUAAUAAUAAUAAGAUAAUUAAUAGAGAAUAAAUAAUAAUAUAAAAAGAAUAUCAACAACGACAACAAGUAUAGUAAUAUUAUAAAGAAAACACUAAUAAAUAUAAAUAUAAGUACAAUAACAAUAAUAUAUAUAUUAAUAAUAAUGACAUAAUUCUAUAUUGCUCAUUCCUUCUCUCCAUAUUUUUAGAGAGAAGAAAAUAAAUAUGAAAGAGUUAAAAAAAAUCUUAUGCCUUUUUCUUUUUCUCUAUUAUUUAGGGAGAAGAAAAAGAGUGAGGUUUUUUUUUUAUAAAAAUAACAAUAAAAGUAAAAGAAAGCCUAAAAAAAACUUUAAAACACCUUAUACAAUUUUUUCUUUCUCUCUAUCUUUAAAGAAAAAAAGAAAGAAAAAAAAAUCAAAUCCCAAAGAAAAUUACAGUAUGCAACCUCUAACAAAGUCUAUAUAAAUAAAAAAAAGUACAGAAACCUCUAACAACUUUUCUCUUAAGAUUUUUUUUGUAAGAUUUUUUUCUCCAAAAUUUUUUGUUUCAAAAAACUCUUCUUCCUUUUUCAAAUGAAAAGGUUCCUAUUUAUAGACCCGGGUGUACCAUCAAUUAGAAAAAAAUAAGAAGAAUAAAAUCUAUUUUUGAUAUUAUAUUAAUAAUGUAAAUUUCAUUUUCCUAAAAUAAACAAAUUAAAUUAAAUGAAAUAUUUUGAGAUUUUGUGAAAAAUUAAUAAAUAAAUUAAAAGAUUUUUUUUUGUUUAAAAUUGAUUUUCUUUUUUUCCUAAAAUGAUAUAAAUUAAGUUAAAGAUUUUAUUAAUUUUUUCUUUCUAAAAUGAGUAGAAAUAAGCUUUUAAAACAUAUUUUAUAUAAACUAAAUAAUUUGUUUGAUAUUAAAAGAUUUGAUGGAUUUGUUUUUAAAACCAUAGAAAUGAGAUAAUAUAAUAUGUUAUUACUAUUUUUUUUUUAUCCUUUUUUCAAAAAUAAAUAAAUAAAAAUUUAGUCAUUAUUACUAACAUUAUCUUUUUAAAAAAAUAUUAGUAGGAUAACAAUAAGUGGCUACAUGUACCAUAUUUCGGGAUGAUAUCUUCACUUGUGAAAAGCUUCAAAAUACGCUUAAAAAUCAUUGCCUCAGCCCAAGUUGAUGUAUCCUCUCUAAAAGAUAAUGAAAAUGCAGAUCACUUGAUCUUCAUCCAUUGCAACUUUGUAAAUUUUCUUUGGAAGAAAAUAGAGCUCUACACAGGUUGGAAGCAUACUAGCACGAACUGUCUUAGCCAAUGCUAGAAACUUUGCUCCAUUAAUACAAAGCAGAAGAAAAAGGCACUAUCUUUUUCAAUAUGGUGUGGCUACUUUUGGAGCUAUUUGGUUGGAGAGGAACAACGAAAUCUUCAACAACAAAAGUGCAAACACUUCAAAUAUAAGGGAUAACAUACCAACUUCAAUAGCUCUUGUUCUUCCAAAAGUAAACUUUUUUCGGAUUAUUCUCCUUAUGUUAUUGUUCUAAAUAUUAAUGCUUUUACUUAAUUGUUUUCUCCCUUACUAGCUCUUGGUCUUCCAUAAUCCAACUUUUUUUUUGGAUUAUUCUCCUUCUGUUAUUGCUCUAAAUUGUCAUGCUUUUACUUAAUUGUUUUCUCCUUAUUUGGGCUUAUCUCUAUCCCUUUUUUGGAUCAUCAUGUUCCUUGCGCUUCAUUGAAUUGAAUAUACGGAGACUGAUGAGGGUGCUAUAAGGGUGCCCACCUAGUGGAGAUGCUUGGGUGCGUCUUUUGACCCAAAUCGUAUCAUUUUUUCUAAAAAAAAAAUAACUAGUACGUGAUUAGCAAGUUCUCUGUGCAUUUGAUGUGUUCAGUAUCACAGACUGUAAACUUCAUAAGAGCAUGGUAACACAAGAGGUUGGGAGAGACUAACUGACUAAUAAAAUUAGGAGGAUCACACUUAGAGGGAGUAUGUUAUGUGUGAUGUGGAGUACAACUAAGGAAUAGUCAAUCAAAAGGGAUCAGUUUUCACGGAUUGGCUCAGUCUACUUUAAACAAAAUAAACAAAAUAUCUAGAUGAUAUUAUUUCUAAUAAACUUUGUGCUUAUGAACUAUCUUGAAUUUAAUAUAUGACUUUCUCACUCGGCCAAAAGCCCUCUAGAUGUAGGUGAUGUUGAAUCGAAC